UUAAGCGACUAAGCGUACACGGUGGAUGCCCUGGCAGUCAGAGGCGAUGAAGGACGUGCUAAUCUGCGAUAAGCGUCGGUAAGGUGAUAUGAACCGUUAUAACCGGCGAUUUCCGAAUGGGGAAACCCAGUGUGUUUCGACACACUAUCAUUAACUGAAUCCAUAGGUUAAUGAGGCGAACCGGGGGAACUGAAACAUCUAAGUACCCCGAGGAAAAGAAAUCAACCGAGAUUCCCCCAGUAGCGGCGAGCGAACGGGGAGCAGCCCAGAGCCUGAAUCAGUAUGUGUGUUAGUGGAAGCGUCUGGAAAGGCGCGCGAUACAGGGUGACAGCCCCGUACACAAAAAUGCACAUAUUGUGAGCUCGAUGAGUAGGGCGGGACACGUGGUAUCCUGUCUGAAUAUGGGGGGACCAUCCUCCAAGGCUAAAUACUCCUGACUGACCGAUAGUGAACCAGUACCGUGAGGGAAAGGCGAAAAGAACCCCGGCGAGGGGAGUGAAAAAGAACCUGAAACCGUGUACGUACAAGCAGUGGGAGCACGCUUAGGCGUGUGACUGCGUACCUUUUGUAUAAUGGGUCAGCGACUUAUAUUCUGUAGCAAGGUUAACCGAAUAGGGGAGCCGAAGGGAAACCGAGUCUUAACUGGGCGUUAAGUUGCAGGGUAUAGACCCGAAACCCGGUGAUCUAGCCAUGGGCAGGUUGAAGGUUGGGUAACACUAACUGGAGGACCGAACCGACUAAUGUUGAAAAAUUAGCGGAUGACUUGUGGCUGGGGGUGAAAGGCCAAUCAAACCGGGAGAUAGCUGGUUCUCCCCGAAAGCUAUUUAGGUAGCGCCUCGUGAAUUCAUCUCCGGGGGUAGAGCACUGUUUCGGCAAGGGGGUCAUCCCGACUUACCAACCCGAUGCAAACUGCGAAUACCGGAGAAUGUUAUCACGGGAGACACACGGCGGGUGCUAACGUCCGUCGUGAAGAGGGAAACAACCCAGACCGCCAGCUAAGGUCCCAAAGUCAUGGUUAAGUGGGAAACGAUGUGGGAAGGCCCAGACAGCCGUGAUGUUGGCUUAGAAGCAGCCAUCAUUUAAAGAAAGCGUAAUAGCUCACUGGUCGAGUCGGCCUGCGCGGAAGAUGUAACGGGCUAAACCAUGCACCGAAGCUGCGGCAGCGACACUAUGUGUUGUUGGGUAGGGGAGCGUUCUGUAAGCCUGUGAAGGUGUGCUGUGAGGCAUGCUGGAGGUAUCAGAAGUGCGAAUGCUGACAUAAGUAACGAUAAAGCGGGUGAAAAGCCCGCUCGCCGGAAGACCAAGGGUUCCUGUCCAACGUUAAUCGGGGCAGGGUGAGUCGACCCCUAAGGCGAGGCCGAAAGGCGUAGUCGAUGGGAAACAGGUUAAUAUUCCUGUACUUGGUGUUACUGCGAAGGGGGGACGGAGAAGGCUAUGUUGGCCGGGCGACGGUUGUCCCGGUUUAAGCGUGUAGGCUGGUUUUCGUGCAAAUCCGGAAAAUCAAGGCUGAGGCGUGAUGACGAGGCACUACGGUGCUGAAGCAACAAAUGCCCUGCUUCCAGGAAAAGCCUCUAAGCAUCAGGUAACAUCAAAUCGUACCCCAAACCGACACAGGUGGUCAGGUAGAGAAUACCAAGGCGCUUGAGAGAACUCGGGUGAAGGAACUAGGCAAAAUGGUGCCGUAACUUCGGGAGAAGGCACGCUGAUAUGUAGGUGAAGUCCCUCGCGGAUGGAGCUGAAAUCAGUCGAAGAUACCAGCUGGCUGCAACUGUUUAUUAAAAACACAGCACUGUGCAAACACGAAAGUGGACGUAUACGGUGUGACGCCUGCCCGGUGCCGGAAGGUUAAUUGAUGGGGUUAGCCGCAAGGCGAAGCUCUUGAUCGAAGCCCCGGUAAACGGCGGCCGUAACUAUAACGGUCCUAAGGUAGCGAAAUUCCUUGUCGGGUAAGUUCCGACCUGCACGAAUGGCGUAAUGAUGGCCAGGCUGUCUCCACCCGAGACUCAGUGAAAUUGAACUCGCUGUGAAGAUGCAGUGUACCCGCGGCAAGACGGAAAGACCCCGUGAACCUUUACUAUAGCUUGACACUGAACAUUGAGCCUUGAUGUGUAGGAUAGGUGGGAGGCUUAGAAGUGUGGACGCCAGUCUGCAUGGAGCCGACCUUGAAAUACCACCCUUUAAUGUUUGAUGUUCUAACGUUGACCCGUAAUCCGGGUUGCGGACAGUGUCUGGUGGGUAGUUUGACUGGGGCGGUCUCCUCCUAAAGAGUAACGGAGGAGCACGAAGGUUGGCUAAUCCUGGUCGGACAUCAGGAGGUUAGUGCAAUGGCAUAAGCCAGCUUGACUGCGAGCGUGACGGCGCGAGCAGGUGCGAAAGCAGGUCAUAGUGAUCCGGUGGUUCUGAAUGGAAGGGCCAUCGCUCAACGGAUAAAAGGUACUCCGGGGAUAACAGGCUGAUACCGCCCAAGAGUUCAUAUCGACGGCGGUGUUUGGCACCUCGAUGUCGGCUCAUCACAUCCUGGGGCUGAAGUAGGUCCCAAGGGUAUGGCUGUUCGCCAUUUAAAGUGGUACGCGAGCUGGGUUUAGAACGUCGUGAGACAGUUCGGUCCCUAUCUGCCGUGGGCGCUGGAGAACUGAGGGGGGCUGCUCCUAGUACGAGAGGACCGGAGUGGACGCAUCACUGGUGUUCGGGUUGUCAUGCCAAUGGCACUGCCCGGUAGCUAAAUGCGGAAGAGAUAAGUGCUGAAAGCAUCUAAGCACGAAACUUGCCCCGAGAUGAGUUCUCCCUGACUCCUUGAGAGUCCUGAAGGAACGUUGAAGACGACAACGUUGAUAGGCCGGGUGUGUAAGCGCAGCGAUGCGUUGAGCUAACCGGUACUAAUGAACCGUGAGGCUUAACCU
rnacentral:rRNA from 1 species